UACGUAGGGUGCGAGCGUUGUCCGGAAUUAUUGGGCGUAAAGGGCUCGUAGGCGGUCUGUUGCGUCGGUAGUGAAAACUCAGGGCUUAACCCUGAGCCUGCUUCCGAUACGGGCAGACUAGAGGUAUGCAGGGGAGAACGGAAUUCCUGGUGUAGCGGUGAAAUGCGCAGGAUAUCAGGAGGAACACCGGUGGCGAAGGCGGUUCUCUGGGACGGUACUGACGCUGAGACGCGAAAGCGUGGGGAGCAAACAGG
rnacentral:rRNA from 1 species